GGGAACUACGAGCUAUGCUUAAAACCCAAAGGACUUGACGGUACCCCAUAUCCCCCUAGAGGAGCCUGUCCUAUAAUCGACACCCCCCGUUCAACCUCACCAUUUCUAGCAACAUCAGCCUGUAUACCUCCGUCGUCAGCUUACCACGUGAGCGUCAGUGAGCUCUAUGUUUAUUCAACUAUACGUCAGGUCAAGGUGCAACACAUGAAAUGGGAAGAGAUGGGCUACACUCUCUAUCUUAGAGAAAACGAAAAACUACUUAUGAAAUCUAGUCAGAAGG
rnacentral:rRNA from 1 species